rnacentral:rRNA from 1 species
AUUGAACGCUGGCGACAUGCCUUACACAUGCCAGUCGAACGGCAGCACGGGUGCUUGCACCUGGUGGCGAGUGGCGAACGGGUGAGUAAUACAUCGGAACAUGUCCUGUAGUGGGGGAUAGCCCGGCGAAAGCCGGAUUAAUACCGCAUACGAUCUACGGAUGAAAGCGGGGGACCUUCGGGCCUCGCGCUAUAGGGUUGGCCGAUGGCUGAUUAGCUAGUUGGUGGGGUAAAGGCCUACCAAGGCGACGAUCAGUAGCUGGUCUGAGAGGACGACCAGCCACACUGGGACUGAGACACGGCCCAGACUCCUACGGGAGGCAGCAGUGGGGAAUUUUGGACAAUGGGCGAAAGCCUGAUCCAGCAAUGCCGCGUGUGUGAAGAAGGCCUUCGGGUUGUAAAGCACUUUUGUCUGGAAAGAAAUCCUUGGCCCUAAUACGGUCGGGGGAUGACGGUACCGGAAGAAUAAGCACCGGCUAACUACGUG